UGACAUGGAGCCAUCAUUCUGAUUACAGUUUCCUUAAUUUCAUGGAACACAGAAUCCCUUUUUACUUUCUGAUAGCAAAAUGGAAUUGUUUUGGUUUUUUAAUCAGAACUUUGGAUUUCUGUGGUGACAAUAAUGAAGUACUCCAGUGCAUAUCGUGUGAUGGCACCGGUGUAUCGUUUCAGCCCUAAAUCUGUUCCUAUGAUUUGGCUCUAGUUACAGUAGCAAAUGAUCUACAAAAGGUUGAUUUCCUCCUGAUCUGAGGACACAGUAUAGAAACCAGCAUAUAAUACAGGCAGGGGCUGUUUUAUGGAUGCUUUCUAAGGGACAUCAUCGAACACCUGGGGUUCACUUACUCUGUCUUCAGGUGGCAGAGUAGCUUUGUGGUUGAAGCAAUCACUCAUCACCCUGAAGGCCCAUGUACAAUUCCCGCCAUGGGUACAGUGUGUGAAGCCCACUGCUGGUGUCCCUGUCUUUGCUGGAAUAUUGCUGGAAGUGGUGUAAAACAAUGCUUGCUCUUAUUCCCUUCACACCCACCUGGCAUAUAAGGCUAUACGCUGUAACCUUUGGAAAAUAGUCUCACCUGUCUUAGACAAUCACAAUGAAUUUAAUUGUAAACUUUUGAAACAAUCAGAACUCUCCUUUUAUAAUGUGUCAUGGAUGUCAAAAUAACUUAAAUCUAAAAUCUACUAUCUCUAGCAAUCCAAACAUGAAACUUAUAACUGUUGUUCUCCACUUUUUACAGGGUCACUUCUGAAUAGCUAGUAGCAGGAAAGAACAAAACACUGCCUUUCAAAGGUUGUGCAUUGUAAUUUGAAUAUAUCUGCACUAACAAAAAAAAACGAGUUGACCGUCAUAUAAACUGUGGCGCUAUUGAUUGGCCUGUGGAAGAGUUCCUUCUCCUUCCCGAUCAUUGUCAUGGAGUGCUGUGAAAAGUUUGAUUGGUUGACUCCUUAAAUAAAGAAAUACAAUCCACAUGGCCUGUGGAAGAGUUCCUUCCCUUUGCCAUUCAAUUUCAAGGCUUGCUAUGAAAAGGUUGAUUGGUUUACUGUUUGCCAAAGACAUGGUUGUAUUUAAUAUGUAACUAACUUGUCUCAUCCCUGGGGUGGGUGUGAAGUGUAUAGUGAACAGCAGAGUUUGGAGAAUGAACACAUUCUAACACACAUGUAGUAGCCUAGAUUGGUGCCAGAAAGACUUACUUUUGACUUAUGACCUGGUUACUUAUACUGGAUAUCUAACAGGAGGCCUGCACAGUGUUCAGCUUACAGGAUGUUUUAUCAUUAUCAGUUUUCCAGUAUGAUUUUAUGUUCCAGCAAGACUAUAAAUUGUCCUUUCUGAAUGUUGAUGAUCAGCCUGUUGGAGCUGUGCAUGUCAUGGGAUCCAUCUGUAAAGAUGAUACUGAUGAAAUUACAACUUAUUUUGGGGUGGUAACUAAAACGUACAUUAGUCUGUGCAGAGUUGCAUCCCUUAGAUGUGCCAGGGUCCUAUGAUCAUUUUUUCAAAGUCCAGAUUCACCCUGAUUAUGAUGCUUGGUUGGUUAGCACCAUGCCUAUAGGUUUCGCCAAAAUGUUCAAUUGCUAAGAACUGCAUCACUUCCUCCUCUGUCAAACUGACACUCCUUGAUAUAACUAGGAAACUGUUCGAAGCAGAGACAUGCCUGUCUCACUCACUUACUCACUAGUGUAUGUGUGGAUGGGCGUCCCAGUGGUGUAAGUAAUCGCAACUCUUUGUGCAGAGUUGCCUCCCUUUACUGGCAGGAUCUGCAGAUGAUCCUGAUAAUGAUCUGGUAUGUCUGCACCAUAACCAUAUAUUUGGUUUCACCCAGGUGUUGGUGCCCAGAACCUGCCUCGCUGUGUUUUCUCCACUAAUCAGUCGCGGUGCAGCGAAAUAACGGAAAUACUGUUAGCAGCUGUGUCAAACUUCAGAUCUCCCUCCCUGUUCCUCUCAAAUCCAUUCAAGAUACUUGUAUAUGUUUACUCGAUAUUCAACAUUUCCUUGAUGUGGCUGAUGGUAAAGUCUCGGAAACAAACAUGCAUAAUUCUUGCAGUAAAGAAAAGUGAAAGUAGGAUGUUCAAAUGCAAAGAUACCAGUCAACAUUUCUAGAUGAAAAACACAUGCAUUUGGCACAGGAUUAUUAAACCCUUUGUUCAACUCAAUAAUAGGGCUGAACUGAAACCCGUUUCUUUUCUAUAUGUCUUUUUUGGCACUGAAUACUACAAGUACUGGUAUAUACAGUCAAACGCUGUUGUGUCAAACUUGAAGCGACCUAAGUAAAUACUUUGAGAAGUAAACACAACCGAAAAUAAUGAAUAAAGAAGGAAUAUGUCAGGCUUUUAGUUCGAGACAACCAUAAGUGCGACACACAACAGUGUUUGACUAUACUUUAAUGAUCAAUAUCAGUUAUUAUCCUAUCUUUGGUAAGAUUCAUAGUUUCAUGUUUUGCCAGUGAGCGUCACCUCAAUUUUGCUUAGGUUUAAAGGUAAAGCUUGUGCACUAUUGAACAAUGUUUCCAAACAUAGUUGCUUUUAAGUAGUUUUUGUGAAUUUUUGUGAAAGUAUAAUAAGUCAUCUCACAACUACACUCAAACAUGCACUUUAAAAGUUAAUUUUUGCAUUUAUUUAUUUUGAUUUUGAUAACCCCUGUCCCUACUUCUUGUUGUGAUGACCAAGACAAGUCUGUAAAACAUUAUAAAUUGGUCUUGGUUAAGUCAGUUGUGAUGACUCCAUACACUGUUCUGUCUGUCAUGUUGUGCUCUGUGUAACUUGCUGUCUAUAUCUUGACCACACCAUGUCUGUUUUUCUUGUUAAAUCUGUGCCAUUACUGACCAGUGGUCAUCAAUGGUCAUUUCAGAAUGGUCAACUUUAUCCAUCAUCCCAAAGUUAACGUAAAAUUAUAUUUGUUCUGCUGUGUUUGCCUUUUAAUUUAGAGGAAGUCAUCAAGCUAACAUACAAGUCACUGCUUAAUCCCAAGACAAGGUUUACAUCAUCCUUUUGUUUAGCAUCGCAAUGGCUUCCAGCCUUUAGGUUGUUGUCUCGCAUGUUCUGCAACAUUAUAUACUACUCUAAAAAGUUAAAGGACCAUCCGAUUCUUUUGCAUUACUGUAGUUAAGCUGUUAUGUCAUGACAUAAACUAUGCCAUGACAGAUUAACUAUAGAAGUGACUGUUUUUUACUUCUUUUGAGUCUUAUAUAACACUAGUGUUGUAUGGAAAAAGGGAAUUCCAUAGUGAAAUAUUGGGUCACAUGUUACUUUAGGUAAUGCAGCCUAAGGGUAUCGCUUGAUGGCUUCCUUUAAACCAGUCAACUGUGGUUCCACAGUAUUGGAAAGCAAUACAAUGUUUUUUGUAUCCGCCUCUACACUCAAUAUCUUAGAACGUAAAAUAGAUCAAUUUGUUUCCAGUGGUAUGUGGUGUUUUGGAGGAAAAUUAUUGUUUAUUUCUUGUUGUCAGACCUUAUUAAACUGCCUUAAGCAGCCAGAUGCAUCAUCUUCCGACUGAUAUUGUUCCAGUUGCGUAUCAUCACAUAAAUAUAUUCAUGUGUAUAUGUAUUUUAAUAAACCCAGAUUAUCAUAUUAAA